CACAUAAUAUAUGCCCCCACAUAUGAUUAUCAUAAAAAUGAAUUUUUAAGAAGAAAAAGAAAAGAUUUAUAACACAAGAAAGUAGUGAAGGAAGGUUCAGACAAUGAUAUUUAAUGAGAAAAUCUAUGGUACAAAAAAAAAAAGAUUCAUAGAAAAAAAAGAAGAUAAGGUGAUCUAAUGGGUAAAUGACCCAAUUUGUUAGUAGUUUUUCAUAAAAUAAGUGUGCUAAUAACUCAUGCCACAAUUUCAAUCAUGUUAUUAACCUACUUUGGAAGAUAUGAUUUGCUCCAAUCUAUAUUCACAAUCUUUCAGAAUAUGUUCAGCUUCGACUUUGAUGUGUGUAUGUAAGUUAUAUUCUUUGAUCAUCCUUUUUUUAGAUUCACAAACAAGUGAUCUUCUAUCAUUCUAUAUUCUUUUGUGGCCUUAAUUUUUGCUUAGAUUGCCCUUUCGGGUUUUCAACCUAACGGGCUUUUUUUCUUUCUUGUUUUGUACCCUAAUUUUUGCCUAGGUCGCCCUUUCAGAUUUUCAACCUAGCGGGUAUUUAUUAUUAUUAUUAUGAUUUUGCACCCUAAUUUUUGCCUAGGUCGCCCUUUCGGGUUUUCAACCUAGCGGGUCUUCAUUUAGAUGUAAUACUUUUUGAAGCAUCAAUGUGUGCAAGUAGUGAUAAGUCUUCUUGAUCCAUAUUGGUGUGGAUCAGAGCCAUACUUGAAUGUAUUUUUUAUGGUAUUGGGGGCUCAUAUAGUUGGGAGUUCAUUUAUCUUGCCAGUCCUUUUAGAUAUGUGAAAUAUUCUUGAAUGCUAAUUCUUUCUUUUGAAGCUCCGAAGUUCAUAUGUUCUUCUUUUAAGAUCUUUUUUCCUUGACAUGAGGCAGUCAACAUUUGUCUUGAAUUGAAUUCAAUCGGUCAACACAGUUCGUUACUCUUGAUAAGGGGGUUUUAGUUCGAGUGGGUCGCACUGCCUUUAUUCUAUAUAAUAAGAAACAAAGGGGUGCCCCAAUUAUAGGUUGAUACUCAUGAAGGGUAUUCUACAGUUACGAGGCGGCUAGAAUAUCCAGGGCACAAACUUCAAAUUCCCAACGUGAUUGAAUAUUCAAAACAUAUUUAGACUAUGAUUAAGAUAAAACAACUUGUCUAAGGGGAUUAACGUGACGUUAAUUUCAUGCCCCAACAUAUCAGAGUCCAUCCAGAUAGUGGAUUUAUUUAUAUCGUUCUCACAUUCAGUGUAAUUUAUAGCAUGAUUGAAAUUAUGUAUGAGAUUUUAGCAAACUUAUUUAUGAAUGGAAUACUUCCAAAUAUGUUUGGUAUAUGGUUUAAAGAAGAGAAAGAAGAAUAAUGUUUGGUAAGAGAUUGUGAAAUAUAAAAUGGGUGAGGAUGGAAAAGAAAAAAAUACAAAAUGCAUUUAUUGAAAUUCAAAAUAUUGAGGCACAUCAAUAUGAUCAAUGUUUUAGGAUCAAA